rnacentral:rRNA from 1 species
UGGGGAAUUGUUCACAAUGGGCGAAAGCCUGAUGACGCAACGCCGCGUGGAGGAUGAAGGUCUUCGGAUUGUAAACUCCUGUUGCCCGGGACGAAAAGCUCUGACCUAACACGUCAGAGUCUGACGGUACCGGGUGAGGAAGCCCCGGCUAACUCUGUGCCAGCAGCCGCGGUAAUACAGAGGGGGCAAGCGUUGUUCGGAAUUACUGGGCGUAAAGGGCGCGUAGGCGGCCUUCUAAGUCAGACGUGAAAUCCCCGGGCUCAACCCGGGAACUGCGUCUGAUACUGGAGGGCUUGAAUCCGGGAGAGGGAUGUGGAAUUCCAGGUGUAGCGGUGAAAUGCGUAGAUAUCUGGAGGAACACCGGUGGCGAAGGCGGCAUCCUGGACCGGUAUUGACGCUGAGGCGCGAAAGCCAGGGGAGCAAACGGGAUUAGAUACCCCCGUAGUCCCUGAGCGGGCUGGCAAGGCGCAU